rnacentral:lncRNA from 1 species
CGUUUUAUUCCUUUCAUAUUCAAUACUUAUUUUUAUUCUUUUGAAUAUGUUUAAAUUCAUUCUACAUGUAGUGCUGUUAUUUAAGAAGACAUAUGAUUGAUUGAAUGUUGUUUCCUGACCGUCCAGUGACAAAUACUUUAUGCAUGCAAAUUUUAAUGAAAAGAUAUGUAGAGAAUGAUUUGCAAACAAGAAAUACGAAGUAGCACGCGUUGUCGUCAAGAUAGAACAACGGGAAGGCGGGUGACAAUUACAAAUAAUAAG